AGUGAACGCUGGCGGUAGGCCUAACACAUGCAAGUCGAACGGCAGCACAGUAAGAGCUUGCUCUUACGGGUGGCGAGUGGCGGACGGGUGAGGAAUACAUCGGAAUCUACUUUUUCGUGGGGGAUAACGUAGGGAAACUUACGCUAAUACCGCAUACGACCUACGGGUGAAAGCAGGGGAUCUUCGGACCUUGCGCGAUUGAAUGAGCCGAUGUCGGAUUAGCUAGUUGGCGGGGUAAAGGCCCACCAAGGCGACGAUCCGUAGCUGGUCUGAGAGGAUGACCCGCCACAACGGAACUGGGGCACGGUUCAGGCUCCCACGGGAGGCAGGAGUGGGGAAUUUUGGGCAAUGGGCGGCAGCCUGAUCCAGCCAUACCGCGUGGGUGAAGAAGGCCUUCGGGUUGUAAAGCCCUUUUGUUGGGAAAGAAAAGCAGCAGGUUAAUACCCCGCUGUUCUGACGGUACCCAAAGAAUAAGCACCGGCUAACUUCGU
rnacentral:rRNA from 1 species